GACGAACGCUGGCGGCGUGCUUAACACAUGCGAGUCGAACGGAAAGGCCCUGCUUUUGUGGGGUGCUCGAGUGGCGAACGGGUGAGUAACACGUGAGUAACCUGCCCUUGACUUUGGGAUAACUUCAGGAAACUGGGGCUAAUACCGGAUAGGAGCUCCUGCUGCAUGGUGGGGGUUGGAAAGUUUCGGCGGUUGGGGAUGGACUCGCGGCUUAUCAGCUUGUUGGUGGGGUAGUGGCUUACCAAGGCUUUGACGGGUAGCCGGCCUGAGAGGGUGACCGGCCACAUUGGGACUGAGAUACGGCCCAGACUCCUACGGGAGGCAGCAGUGGGGAAUAUUGCACAAUGGGCGGAAGCCUGAUGCAGCAACGCCGCGUGCGGGAUGACGGCCUUCGGGCUGUGAACCGCUUUCGCCUGUGACGAAGCGUGAGUGACGGUAAUGGGUAAAGAAGCACCGGCUAACUACGUG
rnacentral:rRNA from 1 species